GAUGAACGCUGGCGGCGUGCCUAAUACAUGCAAGUCGAGCGAACAGACGAGGAGCUUGCUCCUCUGACGUUAGCGGCGGACGGGUGAGUAACACGUGGAUAACCUACCUAUAAGACUGGGAUAACUUCGGGAAACCGGAGCUAAUACCGGAUAACAUGUUGAACCGCAUGGUUCAACAGUGAAAGACGGUCUUGCUGUCACUUAUAGAUGGAUCCGCGCCGCAUUAGCUAGUUGGUAAGGUAACGGCUUACCAAGGCAACGAUGCGUAGCCGACCUGAGAGGGUGAUCGGCCACACUGGACCUGAGACACGGUCCAGACUCCUACGGGAGGCAGCAGUAGGGAAUCUUCCGCAAUGGGCGAAAUCCUGACGGAGCAACGCCGCGUGAGUGAAGAAGGUCUUCGGAUCGUAAAACUCUGUUAUUAGGGAAGAACAAAUGUGUAAGUAACUAUGCACGUCUUGACGGUACCUAAUCAGAAAGCCACGGCUAACUACGUG
rnacentral:rRNA from 1 species